UCUUCUUUUUCUCUUCUUCUCUGCUUCUCUUUCCCUUUUAUGUUCUUCUUUUGUCAAAGAUCGAGUGAUAAGUUUGAGGUAUGGUUUGAGAGAACAAUUUUUGAGGAAGAGCAUAUCAAGUGGAAGAUGUUGAUGUUAUUGAACUCAGGAGGGGAGUGAAUAGAUGUUGUUAUAAUUGGAAUCACGGUUCGAGAAUGAAUUCGAGUUCUCUGGUGAAUUCGUGGGUUAUUUGGGAUGUUGUCAGUUGAAGAUUAGAAGGGUUGGUGUUUAAUUAACGUCCUGAAGUAGUUUGAUGAAUAAUCAAGAGUUAGGGUUUCCUUAAAGAUUUCAGAUGAAAUUGAAGAUGAGGAAGAUGAUAUUGAGAGAUAUAGUAGAUGGGUUUUGUUGGUUUGAAGAAUUAAGUUAUUGUUUGAGUGAAUUAGGGUUAAGGAUGAAGAUUAAUUUGAAAUUGAAGAAGUUAGGGUUGUGAAUCUGUGAUUGUUUGAAGCUGCGGAUGUAUUAAGGUUUGAUUUUGUAUAUGAGAAGGUGAUGAGUUCGUUAUGAGUAUCAACUCGACCAUUGUGGAAAACUCAGGUGAAGUGGUAAGUUGAAAUUAACGUUUCAUAAUUGGUUUAUAUUCAAUUUGUGUUUAUUUGAGUUUGAAAUUAAAUUUGUGAUUGGGUCUGUUUCAAUUUGGGUUAUUUAUGAGAUUGAUGUUUGUCAGACUAAAGAUGUUGGUAAAUAUACAGACCUAGAGUGGAUGUUUAAGGUUUGGGUUGAUCUUGAUGUGAUUGGGUGAAUUAGGUAUACGUCUGAAGUGAUGCAAUUGAAGUUUAAAUGAUUGUUUAGGGUCACUGCAAUGGUUUCUGAAGUUGAUGUGGACAUGGUAGAUUUAUGAUUCAACUGGUGGUGGUAUGAGUUGGAUAAAAGUGAGUAUUGCUUUGUUGGUGGCAGUGAAUAAAAGUUGUAGGUGGUGAUGAAAGUUCUAGACAUGCAGUUAGAGUUGAUUGAAAUGGAUAAGUGUAUGGAUUGCAGAUUAUGAGUUUGGUGUUGAUACUGCUGAACUGUGGAUAAUUGAUGAGCCUAUGAUGAGUUUUUGAACUGGUUCAAGGGGAAGAUGAGUUUGAGUGCAAUUGUCUCAAUAAGACUAAUUUGAGGUUUAUCUGACGAAAUUACAAUUACAAGGAUGUGAAAUCGGAGGUACUGUUGGUGCUGAAUUAGGUGGGUGGUUGUGUUGAGAAUUGAAUGGCAGGAGUGAAUAUGUUGCUGGGGUUAUGUGAGCUGUUAAAGUAUAUAGAGUUUGGGUUACAAGCUGAGUUGUAAUUGAAUUUAGUGAUGAUUAUAGGUAGGCUGUAUUACCUUUGUAAUUAGUUUGGAAUUAAACCUGAGUUAGAGCUGUAGGGCUUAGAGUUUUGGUGUUGCACAAUGAUUGUGCAUUAGCUUUCCUUGGCCUGAGCAAUGGCUCUGACCUGUACAAGUAUUUUGGCCUUGUGCCAUUCAGCCUAGUCAAGAUCUGAUUCUAGAUGACUUAGUCAAUCUGACUGAGUCGAAUCGGGUUUGACCCACUGAAUCACUAAUCUUGACUUGUUGACCAUUGAUCCUGGACUUUUACCUGACCUUGUCUCUGUUGACUGACGUUUACUGUUAGUUGACUCUUUACUUUGACCGUUUGUUGACUCUUUACUUUGACCGUUAGUUGACUUAGUUGGACUGGGCCUUAGAUUAAGGGGUCAGUUUAGUGGACUUGGGCUUAGACCUAGUAUUCAUAUUUUGAAUAUUUGGACUCUUAUGGUCCGAAUUAGUUUUCGGUUUCUUCUGCAAAGUUGUAGACAUUCAUAAGACUUAGUUAAUAGACUAUAGAACCAACCCAAUUGAAUUAGUAAACCUUAGCAAUGCUAAAGACAAAUAAUGAAAAGGUGUAAAGUCCUAAAUGGGCUUAGAACCAUUAGUUAGACUUGUAUAAUACUUAUGUGAGCUAUUUUGGCUAGAAUCUUAGAAUUCCUGUGUGAUUAACAGUUAGUUAUUGACAACGAUCGAUUCAAAGGAUGAACCAGUGGAUCGCGGAUCUCGAGAUAGGCGUGGCUUGUCAUCAAAAGAGUUUUCAGAGACAGAUCAGAGUUGCGCAGCGAAAGCC